AGACACAGGAGAAUAAUAGGCAGGAUGAAAGAGAGAAAGAACAGACUGACCCAGAGAGUGAGGGAGAAGAAUUUCCAGAGAGCACAAGCCCAAGAGAAAUGUUAGCACUUUCUCAGACAGUUCAGGAGACAGACUUUGAGAAUGAAGAGGAGCCAACUAACCACACUGACCCAAUAGGACCUCCAGACAUUUCCACAUCAAGAGCUGGUGGUCCAGUCCAGCCACA